UACGUAGGGGGCAAGCGUUGUCCGGAAUUACUGGGCGUAAAGGGUGCGUAGGCGGUUUGUUAAGUCCUGUGAAAGGUCCGGCUUAACCGGGGAAGGCCAUGGGAAACUGGCAGACUUGAGUGCCGGAGAGGAUUGCGGAAUGCUCGGUGUAGCGGUGAAAUGCGUAGAUAUCGAGCAGAACACCAGUGGCGAAGGCGGCAAUCUGGACGGCAACUGACGCUGAGGCACGAAAGCUGGGGGAGCGAACAGG
rnacentral:misc_RNA from 1 species